rnacentral:sRNA from 1 species
GCUGGGCAUGGCAGUGCUUGCCUGUAAUCCCAGUGGCUCAGGAGGCUGAGGCAGGAGGAUCACAGGUUCGAAGACAUCCCCAGCAAUUUAGUGAGACCCUGGGCAACUUAUUGAGACCCUGUCUCAA